rnacentral:rRNA from 1 species
UAGGGAAUCUUCCGCAAUGGACGCAAGUCUGACGGAGCAACGCCGCGUGAGUGAAGAAGGAUUUCGGUUCGUAAAACUCUGUUGUUAGAGAAGAACAGCGCAUAGAGCAACUGUUAUGCGUGUGACGGUAUCUAACCAGAAAGCCACGGCUAACUACGUGCCAGCAGCCGCGGUAAUACGUAGGUGGCAAGCGUUGUCCGGAUUUAUUGGGCGUAAAGCGAGCGCAGGCGGUCAAUUAAGUCUGAUGUGAAAGCCCCCGGCUCAACCGGGGAGGGUCAUUGGAAACUGGUUGACUUGAGUGCAGAAGAGGAGAGUGGAAUUCCAUGUGUAGCGGUGAGAUGCGUAGAUAUAUGGAGGAACACCAGUGGCGAAGGCGACUCUCUGGUCUGUAACUGACGCUGAGGCUCGAAAGCGUGGGUAGCAAACAGG